UAGCGGAGGAAGAAGGAAGGACUCAGCCAGAGGGAGACGUCGUGCUGUCGCGGCGGUGCCGGCUUUGUUGGUGUGUGUCUAGCGCACUAGGGAUUGGGAGAGCUAACUUUGGCACCUGUGUCUAGUUGAGGAGAUCUAGGACAGGAAGUUAAGGGGAGGAACGGAGCGCCCUGGCUCGAACGUUAGCUCGCGUCGCUGGGGCCACUCGAGGCGGGCGAACUCGUCGCGGCUGCUCUUUAAGACGGCGGAGCUUAUGGAGACAAAGCUUGCGGAGGGGAGGAGGGCUUCGAGUACCGCUGGUAGGGUUUAGGUCGGCGUACGGGAGCAGUGACGUUCUGUGUGCCCUCGUGAGGUAUCUCAGGAAACUCAAGUGGUACCACUAUGCGCAGGAAGUCACACUAAGGACUCGGAGUACCUGGUGACCUCAAUACGGUAGGAGUUGGUGUCGGCGUGGUGGCGGUACAAGAAGAGGCCGUUUAUAAGACCACUCCUUAAGAGGAACCUGGCUUUGGGAUUCGAGGCUUUCUUGUAGUUAGCACCUAACGGUGAAUUAGGUUGCGAGGAACAAGUUAGGACCGGGCUUGGCCAUAGCCGCUUACGGGACGAUGGUGCACAGUAGGAUCAAGCAUAUUAAAAAGGGUCGGCUUUUACAAGCACAUAAAAAUGUCUGGGUAUACAAGUUGGAUAGUAUAGAGAAGUUGGAAUCGAGGCUAACUCCACUUUGAAAAAACGUUUCACUGUGAAGAUUUUGAUGAAACGGUGACUUAAGUAUUAAAAAUUGAAAGUUUGAAAAGUUUAAACUAAUUAAGUUAAAACUUACGUUUCGAAUUGAACUAGUAUAGCCACUUGGCGCUGUGGACAAGUUAACAAAGGAAAACGCAAACUUGUGAACUAUACAGAGGUUGCAUAGAUAUUAAAAAAUAACAAGGUAUGACAAUAUAAUAGUUAGGACUUACAAAAUAUUAGUAAAAUAUCAGUAAAAUUUAGUAAAAAACCAUGAUUGGAUAACGGUAUCACCGUUCACGGUCAACGACAAAACACGUACAAAAAAUGUAGCGUCCUUUAGUUAUGGUUUGCCUCAAGUUUACAUUGCUUUGAAGUGCCUCUAAAAAAUACCUGGUCUUCUGUGGGUAACCCGGUUCCGUCGCGGACCCCCACGAGACUCCCCUCGUGUUGGGUGGUCCCGCGCGGUCCUCCGGGUCCGCGCGGGACCACCCAACACGGGUGGAGCCCACGGGGGGCCUGGCGGAGAAACGCGAUAUUUAUGGGGUUAUAAGAUCUUUGGGAUCCCCUCAGCUGCUUUUAGUUAAGGUCGGCGGCGUCUCAGGUCUGGUGGUCUAGGUUAGUUCUGUGGUAGUGCCUCCCCAAGUGGUGAAAGUAACCACGGAGAGGCUACUACGCACUCAUCAAGAAACAUCUGGAUACCCAGGUAUCAAUCAUCAAUCUACCGAAGGAG
rnacentral:rRNA from 1 species